rnacentral:rRNA from 1 species
UACGUAGGGUGUAAGCGUUGUCCGGAAUUAUUGGGCGUAAAGAGCGCGCAGGCGGUCGUUCAAGUCGCGUGUGAAAGCCCCCGGCUCAACUGGGGAGGGUCACGCGAUACUGAUCGACUCGAAGGCAGGAGAGGGAAGUGGAAUUCCCGGUGUAGUGGUGAAAUGCGUAGAUAUCGGGAGGAACACCAGUGGCGAAGGCGACUUCCUGGCCUGUUCUUGACGCUGAGGCGCGAAAGCUAGGGGAGCAAACGGG